UUGGAUAUUUAAGAAUCAUUUUAAACACCGGUUCUCAUCCGAUCACCGAAGUUAAGCAAUGUCGAGCCCGGUCAGUACUUGGGAGGGUGACCACCUGGGAACACCGGGUGCUGUAGGCU